rnacentral:lncRNA from 1 species
AUUGCAUUUAAUUAUGCACCCUGAUCUGUACAUAAAAUGCCAUGUCCAUUCAAUAAAUCUCAGAAUAUAUUUAUAAAUAUGAUAAUUUGCAAUUAAUUUGAAUCAUCUAGCAGUGCUGAUUGCAAUUAUUUUUACAUUAAAAGAUGUAAUAUCAAACCUAUGCAGCUCCUGUGCUUGCUGCAGUGUUGUCUUCCACUCCUCCUCUAGAUUUUUCAUCUUCUUAAUAAGAGGAUGUCUUGCAUCUUCAUCAAGAUCUUGACGGUUAAAAAGAUGAUCUAUUGUCCAUUUCAGGGCUGUAAUCUUAGAGUUGCCCUCAGAGUGCAGACUCAGAAUUGCCUGAAAGACAGAGAGGAAUGCUUGUUCUUGACUGUCACAUUUUUGUUGAUCAUGUGCAAUGCAGUUUAAAUACUUUUAAUAAGUGUUUUACUACAGACAUUUAAUUUCUUCUUCUGUUUCUCUAUAUUGUACUACUUACUUGUGCUUUACUUAGUCUCUCCUCAAUCUGCUCCUGUGUACCAUGAGUGCUUUUCCCCAAUGAGUCCAGGCCAUCUUUCUGGUUCUUCACCCAGGUCCAGGUGCUCGCCUCCUGGGUAUAGACAUUCUGAAGCUCCCUUGCAAGAGAAUCCUGGAGCUCAGCCUGGUUCUUUAGUUCUUGAGCACUUGCCAGGACAUUCUUCCAUUCUUCUUCAAUGGAUCUUAGGUUCAGCUGGAUUUCCUGUUUUCUUUUCUCCUCCAGGCCUUCUCGAGAACACAAAUCCUCUGCUUUCCUCCUCAGGUUGGCUAGUUUGUAAUCCCCUUCUGAUUCUGAGUUCAGGAUGGCCUGAGCUCCAUGCAUUCUCUCUUGUAACUGAGUCUCUUGACCUAGCAAUUCAGUCUUCAGAUGCUGCUGUUUGAGCCAAGACUGAGUGUUCUCCUCCACUUCUUGAAGAUCCUGAAGGUCCUUAGAAAGAGAAUCCUCAAGGUCUGAUUGGUUCUUCAGUUCCUGAGCCUGCAUCAAAACUCCCAUCCACUCUUGCUGUACAUUUUGUAAUGUGUGUUGGAUUGUCUGACGUUUGUCCUCCUCUAGAUCUUCACAGGAACAUAGAUUCUCUCCCUUCAUCUUUAAGUCAGAAAGUUUAUAGUCCCCCUCAGAUCUAUGAGCUAGUAAUGCCUUUAAAAACAAAAAACAAACAAGAUAUUCAUCUAGAACAUAAUUUUUUUUUUUUACCAUGCUUUUAUUUUUCAUGCAAUCGUGUAAGCCAUCAAAGCUUUUUCACAAAUAAGCAACAAGACCUGUAAAAAACAAAUUUGUGUAGCCUUACACAAUGCUUCAGAUGUGUUGGCUACAAUUCUUUAGUCGUCUGAUGUAAUCCAAUGUAUGCCCUGAGCAGUUGCUCUAUUUUAAAUAUUACAUUUUAUCAUAAAUUAGGCUUACUCACUCACUUACUGUCCCUUACCAAACCUCUCACAUACAAACACCAUUUAAUGGUUAAAUUUUCCUCUCUAUUACCUCAACUCCAUUAAGCCUCUCUUGAAUGGAAGAUGCCACAUGAAGGGAAUCCAGGGUCUCUCUGAGAUGUCUAAUCCAGGAUUGAGUGUCCUCUCCCUGAUCACAGAAAGUUUGUAACUCUCUGUAGAGAGAUUCCUCAUGUUUGACCUGGUUCUUGAGCUCCUGGGCAAGUUGUAGCACUUUCCUCCACUCCUCCUCUACUGCACUCUGGGUUUGAUGAAUGUGGCUCCUCCUCUCAUUCUCAAGCUCUUUAUAAGAACAUAAAUGUUGUCCUUGUCUCUGUAAACUGGCCAAUCUGGAAUCGGCUUCAUCGCCAAGGUCUAUAACAGCCUAGAGGAUAUGCAGACAUUACUCCCAACACAGUAUGUGCACUACUAGAAACCUUUACUUAGUUUUACCUGGGUUAGAAUCAUGCAAGAUCAAUGAAAAUAUUUUAAUAAAGCAAAAUGUUUUCCUCUGUCUUUACCUGUACUUUGUUAAGUUUUUCAUGUGGCUGAAGGUCCUUCCCCAAAGAUUGCAGCAUUUGCAGUUGUUCUCUCACCCAUGACUGAAUACUCUCUUCCUGGUCCUUUAAAUCUUCUAGUUCCAUAUUGAGAGUGUCUUGGCGUUCUGCCUG